CAAGAAUGCAGCUUGGAGCUUCUCUUUGAGACCAUCGCACAAACAGCAACCGGGUUUUGAGUAAAGGACCAGUUUUCUAGAAGAAGGUGUAGAUGAACUACACAGAGGUUUGAAUUUUAGAAACCUUUGAGUUUUUCCGCCACCCAAUAACACCGCCGAGGGUUUCGCUACUGCUAACACUGCCACCGCACGUGCCACCGUCGCCAUUCUAUAGAUGAACUACACAGAGGUUUGAAUUUUAGAAACCUUUGAGUUUUUCCGCCACCCAAUAACACCGCCGAGGGUUUCGCUACUGCUAACACUGCCACCGCACGUGCCACCGUCGCCAUUCUUCUCUGUCUCGGGAACACUAAUCAUAUAUCAUAGCCCAUCUGAAUCCGUUAAUUAAAAAAAAUUAAAAAAUUAAAAAAAAAAACAAAAUGUCUUCAAUGGGCCUGGAAAUGCUUAUCUCUCUAGCCCAAAUAAUUAUCUUUGAAAAUGC
rnacentral:lncRNA from 1 species